rnacentral:rRNA from 1 species
GCGUAAAACCACGACUGAUCAGAGAUUAAAUAAAACUCACUUUUGUUUUCGGACAAAAAACGUGUAUUAUUCAUAGUCAAAACUUGAAGCUAUUCUUUAUUGAAUUGCUGAACUAAACUUAAAACUUUCAACAACGGAUCUCUUGGUUCUCGCAUCGAUGAAGAACGCAGCGAAGUGCGAUAAGUAAUGUGAAUUGCAGAUUUUCGUGAAUCAUCGAAUCUUUGAACGCAUAUUGCGCCCUCUGGUAUUCCGGAGGGCAUGCCUGUUUGAGCGUCAUUUCCUUCUCAUAUCCCUAGGAUGUGGUGAUGAACGACACUUUCGCAAGAAAGUCCGUUUGAAAUGAAUUGGCACGAGUCUUUCGACAGAUUGAUGCUAUGUUUUCAAUGUAUUAGGUUUACACCAUCGUUGAUUGUAGUAUUGGACUGUUGAAGUUAUGGGCUUUGCCUUACAAACUUUACCUUAAAGUUUGACCUCAAAUCAGGUAGGAUUACCCGCUGAACUUAAGCAUAUCAAUAGCCGGGAGGGAAA